CCUACGGGGGGCAGCAGUGGGGAAUAUUGGACAAUGGGCGCAAGCCUGAUCCAGCCAUACCGCGUGGGUGAAGAAGGCCUUCGGGUUGUAAAGCCCUUUUGUUGGGAAAGAAAUCCAGCUGGUUAAUACCCGGUUGGGAUGACGGUACCCAAAGAAUAAGCACCGGCUAACUUCGUGCCAGCAGCCGCGGUAAUACGAAGGGUGCAAGCGUUACUCGGAAUUACUGGGCGUAAAGCGUGCGUAGGUGGUCGUUUAAGUCCGUUGUGAAAGCCCUGGGCUCAACCUGGGAACUGCAGUGGAUACUGGGCGACUAGAAUGUGGUAGAGGGUAGCGGAAUUCCUGGUGUAGCAGUGAAAUGCGUAGAGAUCAGGAGGAACAUCCAUGGCGAAGGCAGCUACCUGGACCAACAUUGACACUGAGGCACGAAAGCGUGGGGAGCAAACAGGAUUAGAUACCCGGGUAGUC
rnacentral:rRNA from 1 species